GCUAGGUGGACCCUCUGACACUCUUCGCUGGUCAUGUGGUUGAGUCAAAAUAAAGCCCCGCUCAAAGAAAACACAUCCCCUUUAUAUAGUGAGCUGCAGCCAGCUCAGUCUGGCCUUGAACUGGACUACUGACUGCUUGCUUCUGUGAGCAAAAAUAUGCACAAAUUACACCAAAGGCACCACCCAACCUCCACUUGAUGACAUUGUGAUAUACUUGGGAUUUUCCAAACAGAGCCCUUUAGGUGCUCUGUGAUUAGAUACCAAUUUCAUCAAGACGCCA